UCACACGCCCCCCCAGCCAAUGUCAGAGCAGGGAAGGGGGCGGGGCUAACACUUAAGGUGGUCCUGCCACAUUACUCCACUUAAAGAUCUGCCAUUUACAGCCAUCAUAUAACACUAUGGCUGGGGGAAAAGCAAUCUUUUACUUACAUGAGCAUGUUACUUUCCUACAAGUGCAGCCGAUUACUGGGAAAGCAGCUUUUAUCUAGCAGACCGAGCUGUACACACACGCCUGUUUUAGGUACCGAAAGGGAGAAGUGUGUUUAUCACCAUCACUGCCGAAAUGCCCGGAGAUCUUCGAAAGCUUAGUGUUUUUUUUUUCUUCUUUUUUUUGUAGCUUCUGACUGUUCAUUUAUCCCCUACGUGGGCUAUUUUGUUAUUAAAUUACACGUAACUCCUUACUUUAAGCUGCUAAAUUGGUUCACAGAGAGUUGAGUCUCCUUAAAGAUCAAUUAGUCUGGUGAGACUUCAAAAGUGGGAAUUAAAUCUAAAAUCAAUAGGAGUAAUUUAAUAUCAGUGCCGAUCUUUAUGAAAUAUUUAUUUCAAUAAUCUUAGUUAAACUAUUCAGAUCUUGCUGAACCGCAUGGUGAGAUGUAUCCAUCAAUUAUUUCAGUAAAUUAAGUUGUUUAAAAAAAAAAA